rnacentral:misc_RNA from 1 species
GUGGCGGCCCCGGCCAUCACCGCGAUCAGCAGGCACAUCGGCACGAAGAAGCUGCGCCGCUGCAGCAGCGGCACCGUCAUCUGCUUCGUCCCGAAGAACAGCACGCCGUAGGUGAAGAUGAACCCG